rnacentral:rRNA from 1 species
UACGAAGGGUGCAAGCGUUACUCGGAAUUACUGGGCGUAAAGCGUGCGUAGGUGGUUCGUUAAGUCUGAUGUGAAAGCCCUGGGCUCAACCUGGGAAUGGCAUUGGAUACUGGCGAUCUAGAGUGCGGUAGAGGGCAGUGGAAUUCCCGGUGUAGCAGUGAAAUGCGUAGAGAUCGGGAGGAACAUCUGUGGCGAAGGCGACUGCCUGGACCAGCACUGACACUGAGGCACGAAAGCGAGGGGAGCAAACAGG